GGCCCCGUAGCUCAGCUGGAUAGAGCGCCUGACUUCUAAUCAGAUGGUCGCACGUUCGAAUCGUGCCGGGGUCGCCA
rnacentral:tRNA from 2 species